rnacentral:lncRNA from 1 species
CUGAUGAUGUGGCUCAAGCGGUAGCGCGCUCGCCUGGCAUCCAUGUGGCCUGGGUUCGAUCCCCAGCACCACAUACAAACAAAGAUGUUGUGUCCACCGAAAACUAAAAAAUAAAUAUUAAAAAAUUCUCUCUCUCUCUCUCUCUCUCUCUCUCUCUCUCUAAAAAAAAAAUAAAGGUCCAUCAACAACUAAAAACUAUAUUUUAAAAAAUCGCCCUUGUAGGUUUUCAAAUCAAGCAAACCUCUGAGAUUCAGAUGAAUGUCCUUGAAAGUUUCUUUCUUUCUUCCUCAAUCCUCACCUUGAAAAUUACUAUCAUAUUAAACCAGUUAUUACUGGACAUUUGUUACAUUCCGCAAAUGUAUUACAGCAAUAAGAUUUCAGAGGUGGAACAAUUCUUGGUGAUAAUAAGGACUAGGGGUGUGGCCUUGGAAGUGAGUCACUAAAGUGUCCCAAGAAAUGAAGAGAUAGAGGAAUAAGAGGGAGUUGGAUAGGUUACAUAGAAAUUGAUGUCAUCCUAGAUAAGAGCAGAUCUUGAGAAUAUAGGAAAGUCAGUGAGCUAAUGAAUGAAUUUGGUAGAUCACAAUAAAGGGGAAGGACAGGUUUUUUGUUUGUUCUAUGAUACUGAGGACUGAAGCCAGAACCUCAUACAUGGCUAGGCAAGUGUUCUAUCUCAGAGCUAUAUCCCCAGCUAUGAGGAUAGCCUUAGGCUUGAGCCUAAGCAACUCCAUUUUAAAAAUUCCAGUUAGAAACCUACAGUCUCACUAAGCACACCCACAGAAAGCUGCAGUAUGGCCUCAAACAAGUUACUUCUCCUCACCCUGAUAAACAGGGUGAAGCCCCUGGCAGGCUGUCCUCGCAUGAUAAGAGAAAAAAGCUAGAAGAUCAGAGACCACCAGACCAGAUGUUUCUGACCCCAAGGCAAAUGAUGUCACUGAGAAAUCCAGUGGUAGCUGAUAAGGAUUGAAACAGGGGUCAAAAGCCCCAGAAUUUAGUAUAAAUAAUAGAGCAAAUGAACAGGGAUUCAGCCAGCUGAAACAAGGAUGCACUCCAGCUGGAGAGCCUGAUGAGGAUAUGACAUCCCAUCACUUGUCAUAUGGUUUUCUGAUCUGCGUGAUCCUCACCACUCUCAAACUCUACCGCCUGUCUGGACCUUGGUGAGAGCCGGAACUUCUCCCUACAACCCUCUCCUCAACUGGUCGUCCACUUCACACCAGGAAAACGCCUGCCUUUGUUCCGGACUUGGUCACCUCGGUCUGAGUGAGUGUGCAUCUGCUGGACACAAAACCUAAGGCUUAAGACUUUUGAUCUGACAUUUGAACUUAGCAUGCAGAGGGAAUGUCUUUCAUUAGCCUGUCAUGAUUAAGUGUGUUUUGCAUUGCUUAGAAUUAAUCUAGAAUUGUUUGCUAUGAAUUGAUUAUCUCUAUUGCAGUGCCUAGCAUUAAGGAUUGUCAUUUUCUUGAUUAAGAACCUAUAGAAUGAAAUUGUAU